rnacentral:lncRNA from 1 species
GCCCUCUGUGCCCCCACCUCGGUCUGCAGGUCUGCGGACCAAGAGUCGCGGCGGCACAGCCGGCGGCGAGAAUCCGGAGCAGCAGGAGGAGACGGCAAGGAUAGGCCCAGGUCUGUGCGAGGGGCAGUGCUGGGAGGCGGGGAGGGGGCGGCGGGAGGAGGAAGGUGUGCAAAGUCAAAUUUUAGACCCCAACUCCCAAUUUCCCCAUCCCUGCUCCUCCAUUUUACUGCCUGCAGAAAUCUGGGGAUGGAUCGAUAGGGAAAAUGGUGGUUUGGGGGGGCAGGGGGGCCAAUAGGGAGAGGGGAGGGCUUACAUUGGAGGCCCCCUAGAGGACAGACAAAGCCUUUCAGAUGGGAAAAGAAAUUAAAAAAUACGUCGAUAUCCAGGACACUGAAUAGCGAAAGAUGAGCAGUUGGGGACUCUGUCCUCGGUGCUGAAAUGUUCAUGAAUUUUCUUGCCUUUUAUCUUCUAGGAGUAAUGGAAUCCAAAGAGGAACAAGUGGGAAAAAAUACCAACAUGGAAAAUGCCCCAAAGAAAAAGGAACAGAAGGAGCAAGAUGAUAAUAAAGGGGAGCCCUUGGCCCUCCCUUUGGAAGCUGGUGAAUACUUUGUGCCUAGAGGAAAUCGUAGGCGGUUCCGUGUUAGGCAGCCCAUCCUGCACUAUAGGUGGGACCUGAUGCACAGGCUUGGAGAGCCCCAGGCAAGGAUGAGAGAAGAGAAUAUGGAAAGGUUUGGGGAGGAGGUGAGACAGCUCAUGGAAAAGCUGAGGGAAAGGCAGUUGAGUCAUAGCCUGCGUGCAGUUAGCACUGACCCCCCUCACCAUGACCAUCAUGAUGAGUUUUGCCUUAUGCCCUGAAUCCUGAUGUUUUCCCUGAAGUUAAUAGGGAGACCCUUGCUUCCUAAACUAACAUGUUGUGUUGUACCGCUGUAAGCCUUCUGAUGUCAUUAAUUCUCUUGGGUCUCCAGUUACCAGCUUCUAAUUGAAUGUGUUUUUGACGCAGUCUGUAAGAUUUUUGUCAGCAGAAUUUACCUAUUGCAUGGAAAGAUGCUCAUUAUAUAUUGUGAAGUUAAUAAAGCAGUUUAAAAGCAAACA